CCGCGCCCGUCCCGCCGCCCCCGCCCGCCUACGGGAGGCAGCAGUGGGGAAUAUUGCGCAAUGGGGGAAACCCUGACGCAGCAAUACCGCGUGGGUGACGAAGGCCUUCGGGUUGUAAAGCCCUUUCAGUAGGGAAGAUAAUGACGGUACCUACAGAAGAAGCUCCGGCUAACUCCGUGCCAGCAGCCGCGGUAAUACGGAGGGGGCGAGCGUUGUUCGGAAUUACUGGGCGUAAAGGGUGCGCAGGCUGUUUGCCAAGUCAGAAGUGAAAUCCCCGGGCUCAACCCGGGAACUGCUUUUGGAACUAGCAGACUAGAGACCGGUAGAGGAUGGCGGAAUUCCCCGUGUAGAGGUGAAAUUCGUAGAUAUGGGGAGGAACACCAGAGGCGUAGGCGGCUAUCUGGACCGGUACUGACGCUGAGGCACGAAAGCGUGGGGAGCAAACAGGAUUAGAUACCCUGGUAGUCCACGCUGUAAACGAUGAGUGCUAGUAGUCGCGGGUAUCGACCCCUGCGGUUACGUAGCUAACGCGUUAAGCACUCCGCCUGGGGAGUACGACCGCAAGGUUAAAACUCAAAGGAAUUGACGG
rnacentral:rRNA from 1 species